UCUGUGACUCCUACGGGGAGGCAGCAGUGGGGAAUAUUGCACAAUGGGGGAAACCCUGAUGCAGCCAUGCCGCGUGUGUGAAGAAGGCCUUCGGGUUGUAAAGCACUUUCAGUAGGGAGGAAGGUAGUGUAGUUAACACCUGCACUAUUUGACGUUACCUACAGAAGAAGCACCGGCUAACUCCGUGCCAGCAGCCGCGGUAAUACGGAGGGUGCGAGCGUUAAUCGGAAUUACUGGGCGUAAAGCGCAUGCAGGCGGCCUGUUAAGUCAGAUGUGAAAGCCCGGGGCUUAACCUCGGAAUUGCAUUUGAAACUGGCAGGCUAGAGUCUUGUAGAGGGGGGUAGGAAUUUCAGGUGUAGCGGUGAAAUGCGUAGAGAUCUGAAGGAAUACCAGUGGCGAAGGCGGCCCCCUGGACAAAGACUGACGCUCAGAUGCGAAAGCGUGGGGAGCAAACAGGAUUAGAUACCCUGGUAG
rnacentral:rRNA from 1 species